rnacentral:rRNA from 1 species
UGCGUAGGUGGUGAGGUAAGUCGGAUGUGAAAGCUCGGAGCUCAACUCCGAGAUGGCAUUGGAAACUACCUUGCUCGAGGGUUGGAGGGGGGACUGGAAUACUUGGUGUAGCAGUGAAAUGCGUAGAUAUCAAGUGGAACACCAGUGGCGAAGGCGAGUCCCUGGACAACUCCUGACACUGAGGCACGAAAGCUGGGAGCAAACA